rnacentral:lncRNA from 1 species
CAACUUGGUCUCGACAUCCCCCCUGGACUUGGGCAUUUUCUAGUCUGGAUUCAUAGAACUGGAGCCGAAAGGAAGCCUGAAACCAUCGCCUGCGGCUUUAAGUGGUCUGGGGUUUCUUGUAAGCAAAGGAUUUUAUCAAAGACAAUUUUAUACCAAUGUGGGGGCCAGUGGGGGCACUGUGGGAGCCCCGCUCACAUCAUCUGUCCUUUUUCCCCGUUUUCCUUCCUGGAAGGCCCAGAUCAAGCCCCAGGUUGCCCACUUGGAAGCUCAGAGAGGGACAGGCACGUGCUGGGGUUACACAGCCCUGGCAGAGGGAGAUGGGCUGAAGUCACUGGCCUCUAUGCCCAGCAGCCUACUAGGACAUCUGGGAACCAUGUGGGCCACAGACACCAACUGGGUUGGGGGCUCUUUACCUGUCUGGGGUCCAAAGGCAAACCUAACCCUGAUGUCCCCGGCUUGUGCCCACAAGGCCAUUCCCGGCUCAUCUGCCUCCCAGGUGUGGCCUGUGGCAUCUGUGAGGUAGCAUCACUAUUGUCCCUUUCCAGGGACUAUGGGGAGGGGCCCACAAGGGGAAAACGAAAAACGAGGACGACCACAGCAGCCGCCGCGAGGCACCAGGCAGCUGAGCCCGAGGGAGGCGGAGGGCCCAGGCCGCGCACAGCAGCCACUGUUUCCUGCUGCUCUGGAGGAAGUGCCGUCCUUUCUUCCUGCUUCCUCUUUCCCACAGUGAGGGGAGGUGGAGCCCGGGGGGCAGUGGCAUCAAGCUGCCUUGCCCAUGUUCCUUUGGCAGGGCCCUGUCUUGGCCUCAGUUUCCUCAGCUGCACCGCAGGGUGCCCUUCCUGCAGUUCCACCUGCUCUUGGCCAGACUCAGCACAAGGGCGUCCAGGGGCCGUAGCCUGUGUGCAGAGCCCUGGCCACUGUCCUCACGCGGCCGUGCUGUCUGGAGCCAGGAUGGAGGGCCAAGGCUGUGCCCACAGGCCAUGGCCUCCUCCCACAGGAGCGCAGGCCUGGGGCCUGACCUGGCCACAGGACUGGGCUGUACCUCCCUUCACCACCUUGCUGAAGGCCACCAAAUACUCCAUGCCAGGUGAGGGGCCUUGGGCCAAACUCUGGAGCUGCAGUGUCCCCAUCUAUACAGUGGUGGCCCUGGACAGUAGCCACAGGAAACUUUCCUGA